CCCAGCAUCAGAGAGAUGACUUGAGGACAUGCAGGCAGUGUGGGAACAGGAAAUUUACUCACAGACCCUCCCCCUCGGCAGAUGCGCUGGUGGGUGAGUUCCAGCACGGAGCUCUGAAGUGGAAGGUGGUGUGAGGAAGAACAGGGAGAGGAGUCUGGCUUGUGGGCAGCACAGAGCCCCGGACCUCAGGAAGCCUGCAGGGUGAGGACAAGUGGGAGCGGCCAUCGCAGGAGAACUCUCCAAUCAGGAGGAGCGGAGCCAACACUCAGCUGUCAUCCAGGAGGACCAGAACCUGAGCGCGAGAGACACAGAGCUGCCCUCCGGCCCCACCAGCAGCUCACCAUGGGCCCCACGCUCCUUCCCUGGGCGAUGCUUUGUCUCCUGGGAGCGGCCACCCCACAGCCAGCUUGCUCUGCACAGACCGGUCAACAGAAGGCUGGGCUGGGCUUGUCUUCACGAGGCCCCGACCCCCUCGGGGGAGGACACUGUCCCAUGGGAGACUGUCCCCGGAUUCCCCAGCAGGGGACCCUCAGAGGCCCUGUCCUUAAGAAAGUCUGCCUUGUGCGGGGAGUCCUCCCAGACCAGUCUCAGCUGGGCCAGCAUCGUGAUGUGAGGGGGCUCAGCCUUCUCCUCCAAGGCCCCCAUCUCCAUCUCUGCUAUUGGAGCAUCCUCAGCUCUGGACUUCCAGAGGAAUUCUUCCUACCCAGCUGCUUACAGGAAAGUAUAUUUGAAAUUGGGUACAAACAGACACCCUUGAAACCACGGGUCCAUAUUCCUUUCCCCACUAGCGUUUUAUGAGUCCAUCUCUCCCACACCCUUUUCAUUCCAGUCCUAAGCCCUUGUCCAUCUGAUGUCCACUCCUGGUUGUCCUUCCCCACCCCUCGUCUCUGCUUCAAACACCCUGGCGUCAGUUCAAUCCAUUCCUCAUGUGUGUCCUGCUCCUCCCAUAAGAAGGUGUUUCUCCUCCCAGGCUGUGUUCUUGGGGCCAACACAGGUCUCUUCUCUUGUGUCCUCCUUGUUCCAGACCUCAGCUUGACCACCACCUCCUUAGGGAAGUUUCCCUUCUUGAUAUUAGUAGCUCGAAUCCCCUUGUUAUACGGGCUCAUAGCUUAUAAUCUUCAGUAACAUUUAGCACAGUUGCCAUUUUACAUGAAUCUGUGUGACUAACAGAAACCCCUCUCACUCUCUAGACCAGAAGCCUCACAUCGUAGGGCUGUGGAUGUUUUGAUUCUACCAAUAACAACAGCAUUUCUUGGCUCCAGUGGACAGUCUUCCAGGGAGGAAUGAAUCAUGGAAGACCAAUCAGGUUCCCACUUAGGCUGUUGCAGAGUUCUGGCCACAUCAGCAGGGAACCUCCAUCGCUUUGUCUCCUAGAAUCAGGUAAUCCUGAGGCUCAGUGACGUCACCAUGGGAACUGCCAAUGAAGACACGGUCCGCCCCUCCUCCUCUGCUCAUGCUCACAAGGACCCUGAGCUGCUGGACCUCCCAUCGCUGCCCUGACCCUGCCAUGGGCACCAGGCUCCUCUACUGGGCGACCCUCUGUCUCCUGGGGGUAGGUCACACAGAAGCUGGUAUCUCCCAGUCCCCCAGGCACAGGGUCACAGGGAGGGGCCAGAAUGUCACUCUCAGGUGUGAUCCAGUUUCUGAUCACAAUCGCCUUUAUUGGUACCGACAGAUGCUGGGGCAGGGCCUGGAG